CCCGCCGCGCCCCGCCCCUCCGCCCGCGCUCGCCCAAUCAGCGCUCGGCUCCGCCCCGCCGGCUGUCCGGGAGCGGCGCGGCCCCGGCGGGCCGGGGAAGGCGGGGGGCGGGCGGUGAGCGGCCGCAGGCGGCCCGGGUUUCCCAGAAGCGGGCGGAGCUUCCUGCCAAGCAGCCCGCCUCCCACUCCGCUUCCGCCGCCGCCGCCGCGCUGCGCAUGCGCCCGGGCUGCCGGAGGGGCGCUGUGAGGACAGCGGCGCGGGGGAGCUCAGUGCGCAGGCGCGGGGCGGGAGAGGGGCGGGGCGCGCGCGCGGCGUGACCGUUAAACGGCCGCGCGUCUCCUCACGAUCGUCCCGCUGCGCCUCCCGUCCGGUGCCUUAGCCGGUUUCCCCGCCGCUCGCUUGGCCGGCAGCGCCUCUGGCCGCCUCCCCGGGGCCCGUUUAUGCUCUUGGGGCCCCGCCGCCUCGUCAGGGAGGCGGGAACGGGCCGGAGCGGCGCUGGUUGGGCUGCCGGGUCGGUAGUGUGGCUGCUGGCCGGCUCGGUGUCUUGUGUGCUGGGGUAACGCUGUGGCGGCUGCACAAGUUUUCCCAAGAAAAUAAGUGGGAUUUGCCUGUACGGGGCUGCAAGAGCGUGUACCUUUGCAGGAGGAGGCUGGAGCUGCUGCGUAAUAACAUUAUAUUUGUAAACUGCCUCAUUCGAGACUUUCAAAUUAAGCUGCUUUUGGCUCAAGAAGGUGCAGCUUUUUAUUGGCUUUUUUUGUUGCUGUUUGUUUCCCUGUUUUGAGACUGUUACCUUUCAGCAGUUCAGUGCUCAGCAAGGCUGCGGGCAGGGGUGUCUGUGAUGUUAGAGCCGCACCAGGAGCGUGGGAGGGAUGAGGAUGAUCCUCCACCCAGACCCCUGGGAGGCGUCAGUCCUGUGGAGAGAACGUGUGUGAGGAGGAUGACUCACGGUUCUGGCAAAGACUCCGUGUAUGAAAACCGCUGCGAUGGUGCUCUGAGCAAUCCUGAAAUUUGCAGUAGCAGGAUCCUGUGUCCCUCACCUUCAGCACAACUGGCUCCAACAGGUGCUGCUUCUGCUCAGACUCUUCAUGCAGCUUGGAGACAACUUGUCAGCCCUGAGAGCUCUUUCCUGAGAGAACAGAGCUAUAUUGUGUUGUAAAAUAAUCCUCUGUUGCCUGAUUAUAGUGGAAAACUAGAGUUAAAUGGCCUUGCCUGGGUGGGUGUGUCUGCGGUGGAUGAAGAACUGGCUGGAGGACCGGGCCCAAAGAGUUGUGGUGAACCACCAAAUCCAGUUGGUGGCCGGUCAGGAGUGGUGUCCCCAGGGAUCAGCAUUGGGGCCAGUUCUGUUUAAUCUCUUUAUCAAUGAUCUGGAUGAGGCGAUCAAGUGCACCCAUAGUAAGUUUGCAGUUGACACCAAAUUGGGUGGGAGUGUUGAUCUGCUGGAGCGUGGGAUGGUCAUACAGAGGGAUCUGGACUGGCUGGAUCAAUGGGCUGAGGCCAGUUGUCUGAGGUUCAACAAGGGCAAGUGCUGGGUCCUGCACUUGGGUCACAACAACCCCAUGAACACUCCAGGCUCAGGGAAGGGCAGCUGGAAAGUGCCCGGCACAGAGGGAUCUGGGGGUGUUGGUGAGAGCGGCUGAACAUGAGCCAGCGUGUGCCCAGGUGGCCAAAAAGGCCACAGGAUCCUGGCUGGUACCAGCACUGGUGUGGCCAGCAGGACUGGAGAAGUGAUUGUGCCGCUGUACUCAGUGCUGGUGAGGCCGAACCUUGAAUCCUGUGUUCAGUUUUGGUCCCCUCAUCAUGAGAAGGAUGUUGAAAUACUGAUGAGAGUGCAGAGAAGGGAACGGAGCUGGUGAGGGGCUGGAGCACAAGUGUGAUGGGAGCGGCUGAGGGACCUGGGGGGUUCAGCUGGAGAACAGGAGCUGAGGGGAGACCUUCUGAUCUCUGAACUGCCUGAAAGGAGCUCGGAGCCAGGGGGGUCGGGCUCUGCUCCCCAGGAACAAGCGCCAGGAGCAGAGGAAACGGCCUCAAGUUGCGCCAGGGGAGGUUGAGGUUGGAUGUGGGAACGAUUUCUUCCCCAAAGGGCUGUGGGGCAUUGGAACAGGCUGCCCAGGGCAGUGCUGGAGUCACCAUCCCUGGAGGGGUUUAAAAGACGUUUAGAUGAAGUUCUUAGGGACAUGGGUUAGUGCUGGAGUUGGGUUAUGGUUGGACUUGAUCAUCCUGUGGUUCUUUUCUGACUGAAAUGAUUCUAUGAUUCUAAAUGAACCUGUCACAGUAGGUCACUAUUGUGCCUAGGGAAAUACUGUGUCAACAGGUGAUACAAAUACUAAGUGGAAAUAGAGGGUGCUGGGAGUGGAGCUGCUGUCAGGUCAGCUCUUGCCAGGAGUUUGUCAGUAAUUACAGGUGGUUUUGGUCCUUCCUGCAGGGCGCGAGCUGUGGUCAGCUCUGAGUGGGGUGAAUGGAGCUUCAGGGAUGGUUCCUGUUCUGUGUUCUCCUGCACUCGGGCAGCACGUUAUGGUGACAGAACCUGAGAUCCACCCAGGCUCCAGCAUCCCCUGAGCAAAGAAUCAUCCUCAUGUUCAAGCAGUAGGAAAACCUCAAGUGAGGGAGGAGUUGCGGUAAUUACUGGUCAUGUCUUUUUCAACCUUUCCUGAUAUCUUACGCUUGCUUAAAAAGUGUGGGAUGUCUGCAGGUGAAGAUAGAGAACUGUGAGAGAAUUUUUUACAAGGCAAUGUUUUUCAGAAGUUGGAAUAAUUGGACAACAGUCCUGCCUUUAAGAGUCCGAGGGAGUCUUUGUUAUGUUAUUUUUGCCAGGGUAGUUGAGGUGAUCAUACUGUUGCAUAUAGCGGUAUUUAGGACCUUGAUAUUUUUACAACAGUGGAAAAAAAUUAAACUUUUAAGAAAAUCUAAUGGGCCUUAAUACUAAUUCUGUGGGUUUUGAACAAGCCACAGUUUCCAUUGAAGUUACAUUCUGUAAUUGCAGUCUGAAGAGGGCAAAACGACAGCACACGGGACGGAGAGCUCAACAAGCAUGUGUGGAACCCGUUACAAGCCCAGGUCCAGUAUUGAAACCCAGAACACUCUGCUUUUCUUUUGUGGCUGAGUUAUGUGAGCUGAGUCAAUGGUCUCAAUCAGCUGGAAGCUGUGAAGAAUGUCUUGAAAGCAUGAACAGAGUGUAAAUAAUGUAAUAAUGCCUGCUCCAGUAAGCCAGCAGUAUGCAGUAAGAGCUGAGUGGGCGUGCGGUAAUAGCUCGGAGAUGUGAAGAGUCCAUUAGCUGGAAGUAACAGGAGCAGGUACUGAUCUGUCAGAGCGCUUCUGACAGCUCUUCGGCAGCAAAAGCGUGUUUGAAAAGGGGAGAAGGCAGCGUGUCCUGCCAGCGGAGCAGGGGCAGGGCUGGGGAUCACACCGGCCGCCCGCCCUCUGUCCAUUCACCAGGACACCGACAGCAAAGCUCUGGUUUCUUCGCAGCAAUAAAACCCACAGGUAGUUCCCACCAUGAGUACAAACGGGGUGAAUGCAAAUAGAACUGUGUUCCUCUUUAUGUGAAUCGCACAGAGUGUAUCAGUUACUCGAUUUGGAGAGUUCACACAAAUAAUUGCAUUAGUAAUCGAUGCAAAAUAUGUGGAGCCCUUCCCUUUGGGUGACCCAAUAAUGUCAAGACCUACUUCUCAGAAUGUGAGCUGUGAUUAUGGCUACAGCUCAGAGAGCAUAGUUUGUUUCACAAGAGGCUUUUUGUUCCUGCCUGGCUUGGUUAUGGUGAUCCACUCUGGGACCACUGAUCAAAAAAAAGCUUUUCACUUGCAGUUUUUGAUCUAUCAUUCCAAGUUUAGUGCUCAGUGUGGGUGUGUGAGCACUGUGUUACAAGUUCAGAGCUGUAAGAGACUUGACCCAGGUGGACUUUUGGCAGUGUGAGCUUCAGUCUGGGUUUAGAGGUGGGGACAGCUCACACCCCCUUGGCUGAUCUUCAGCCUCUUCCCACCAACCCAGCUGUGGCACAUCACCAGUUCACAGAGGAGAAUUCUGACCCCUGCCACCCUGACUGUAGGUGGCUACAGUCUGUGCUGUGUCAUAGAACUGGAGAAAGGUUUGUGUUGAAGGGACAUUCCCAGCUCCCCCAGUGCCCCCCUGCCAUGAGCAGGGGCAUCUUCACCAGCUCAGGUUGCUCAGAGCCCCGUCCAGCCUGGCCUGGGAUGUCUCCAGGGAUGGUUCAUCCACCACCUCUCUGGCCAACCUGGGCCAGGCUCUCACCACCCUCAGGGACAACAAUUCCUUCCUCAUGUUCAGCCUGAAUCUCCCUCCUUUAGUUUCAAACCAUCACCCCUUGUCCUGUCACAACAGGCCCUGCUCAAAAGUCUGUCCCCAUCUUUCUUCUCAGCCCCUUUUAAGUCCGGAAAGGCCGCACUAAGGUCUCCCCGGAGCUUCUCUUCUCUUCUGAACACCCCAACUCUCUCACCUGUCCCCAGCAGAGCUGUUCCAGCCUCGGAUCAUUCCUGUGGCUCCUCUGGCCCCUCUCCAGCAGCUCCAUGUGUGUCCUGUGCUGAGGACCCAGAGCUGGACCAGCACUGCAGGGGGGUCUGGCCAGAGGGGCAGAAUCCCAAACCUGCUGCCCAUGGGGCUGGGGAUGCAGCCCAGGGGACGGUUGGUUUUUGGGGAUGCAAGCACAUGCUGCUAAUCUCUCAUCCUCAUCCCUCUCCCAAAAACCCAGCUCCAGUCCUGUGUGCGCUGCCGAGCUGGUGGCACAGGCCUGUGGGUGUCUCUGCCUUGGCACCUGUAGUUGCUGUUGCCUUUGCCAGCAUCGCUCUUCUUGAUUCAAAGUCUCUCCUUGGAAAUAAUCCCCUACUUUGGUUUGUGCUGAAGUUGGGUGGGCAGCUACGCUGUGUGGAGUGACUCAGGACUUUGGGGGUGUGCAGUCAGGAGAAUGGUGUCCCCAGGAGCUGCAGGGCAGUCUGAGGGGACCCUCAUGGGGACAUGGGGAGAGCUCUGCCAGCAGAUAGCGUGGGUAACGGUGACAAAGCAAGAGGGAUUGAUGGGGCAGCUGCAGAAAUGCUGCUGCAGUGUGAGAGAGACAGGAGGUUUUACACCCAAGGGAACCCGGCUCAGACCCUGCGUGUUCUACUGAAACAGAGCCAGAAAGCGUAGAACGGGGUUCUUGCCUCUUCCAUUCCUCAGAACUUCAACCUGAAGCAACGGGUUGGAAACUUCACCAUUAAAAAGUUUCACUUCCCGAAUCGUGCUGUUGUAUAAACACGUGGUGCAGUGGGAUAUGACAUUUACUCCCACGCACGGCGUGCUUUGUGCCUCGCGUACACCAUCCCUUAACCCUUGAGCUGGCUGUGAGGAACCACCUCUGCGGCGGGGCAGACUCACCUUGCUUGCUGUUAAGUAAACGGCGGUAGAAUUGCACCCAGAAUUAUUGCAUUCAUAUGGGAAAACUCCCUUUUUCAAGCUCUGGGUAUCAUGAAGAUGUUGAAUUAGGUAUAGUGGUGCUUUAUGUGCGCCCUUAUAGACACAUCUCGGAGCACUUUCCUGCCCAAAACAAACAAAUUACUUAAGGCAGUUUGCUUUAAUUCCUGAUUCUGCUACUGAUUUAUGAUCCUUGGCAAAGUUCUUAGUUCCGGUCCCAUGUUAAACAGAUGCUGCUGCUUUUUUUUCCCAUUCUUUACAUCUUUUGUGUAUAUAUAUAUAUAUAUAUAGUGGAAACUCAACCAGGAGGCUCUGUCUUUGCAGGAUACACUGACUGAAGUGCUCAGGUGCUGAUGCUUUAUAAAUAUCCUAUGUAAAUAGAUAAGUAUCCUAUAUAAAUAGAUAAAUAUCCUCUAUAUAUGUCUAUCUCUAUAUGUCUCAGUGGGAGUAUGUUUAUAAUAUCCCUUUGUUAUUGCAAAAGAGAUGAAUACACCUAGAUUGUGAGAUUUAAAAAUCAAUGGCUCAUCUUAUCUCAUGCCCUUGCGUAACAGAGCUCCAAGCAAGCCGUCUAUCACAGCCGGACUUGAACUUGAACCGGGUUGGCCAAGCCGUCGGUGCUGCAGCUGUACCCCUGAGGUUUCUCUGGUGUUGAAAGAUGACGCAGAAGAGGAAUGAAUCCCAACAUUGGCAACAGGCUGGUUGUGUUAUCCCACUGGGGUGGGAGAUAGGAAAACGAAUUUAGGCCUUUGUAGAAUGGGUCUGAUCUGAUCACGGUUACACAACGUCGAUGUAAUUCCAUGCACCUGAAUGACAUAUUCGUGGCUUGUGUCAGUGACAAAUAAGAAACGGUCGCGAUGGCUCGCAAAGGUUUUUCAUCAGCUCUUCUGAAUACCAAAGAGUUCCAAUUAAUCGGAGUUUGGCCCCUGCAGGGAAUACGCUUCUGAAGAGCUUCCUCUUAUCGUUGCCAAAAUAUGAUCAAAUCGCUUUGUCUUUCUGAACAAGUUCUGCUUUUGGCUCUGGUCUAUCGGCAGGAAACACAUGUCAGCGCUUUAGCAGCCGUGUGUCCUGUUCAGAACGAGCUCUCGGUCCGAGCGGGUGCGGACGGAGCGGGGCCGGCGUUUGCUCCUUUACGGGCAGGAGGAUCGAGCGCACGUUGAUUUUUGCCUCUGUGCUCUGCAGGUCGUCUGAGGAUUUCAGCGCUUCCCAAAACCGCUUUUGUGAAGCUGAAUCUUCAUCAGGUUCUUCUGCAGAGGCACUGGCUCAAGCGUGUGAAAAAGAGGAAAUGAGCACUGGAAAGAUCAAGCCAAGAUUAUUAAAAGCAGCCUCUGAUUUUGAGUCUUGGCUGCUCAGUUCAAGGAAAUUUGGGUGUUCUUUUCCGUGUAGAUUACAGGAUUUCUCUUAUGGUGAUGAAUGCUUGUUGGGAGGGGGCUUAACGGCUUUCCAAACUCAGCUCCCUAAAAAUCCCUUCUUUGGGAGUCGCUUUGCGUCAGAAGCAGAGACGCCGCUCACAGAACCUUCCACUGGCUCAGAUAUUACAGGACGUAUUAGAAAAGAAGCACAAAACCUUUGUCGGAAUAUUACAGUAUCCAUGUGGUGGUGUUUUUUCUUUAAGCCUCAGCUAUGAGAGUGAAGCAGUGAAUUAAAAUUCAAAUAUUGCCUUUAUAUGUAGUUUGGAGAGAUUAAACUAAUGAAUUUGAAGAAGCUGAGAGGUUGACAGUAUUUCUGGUUAAAUACUCCUUGCUUGAGCUGGUAACUCCUUAACCCAAAAUGAGCAACAGCUGUAAUUCAGCUCAUUGGAGCCACUUGUCAGAAAUAAUGCCCAGAUACAAUUUUUAUUCAUUAGCACUUAGAUCUAUAUAUCCAGUACUUUAAUUGUGGGGGAAAACUUGUGCUAGAUUUUCAGAGUGGCUUCUAGAGGGACGUGAAGAGUAAUGAUGGAGCCGCCUGUCCGAGGAGCUAACGCAGGAUUGGGACUGAAAUAUUCCAGCAGAAGGAGCCGGACUUGUUACUCGCUCUGCAGGUUUUGCUUUGUGUACAAAGAGGACAUUGUUCUUAGAUAGCCAGGCUUGUCACAUCCCACUCGAAUUUCACUCCGUGAUGCAACGCCGAUAAAGCAUCGGUAAUUAUUGUUAGAUCCCUGGCAGUGGAUGUUACACGCUCCCAAGCUCACAAGUUGCAGGCAGAGUCCAAAAGCCACGUUGACUUGCUGGGUGUCUGAGCUGUGUGGGUCAUUCCGGAAUAUUAAUAAUAUGAGGCUUGUUGCAAACGUAACAGCUGGCAAAUGCAAUUUGGUUUUGCAUUUCAA